GAAUUGAUCUAGAUGCCAUUAACAGCAGUACAGAGAAAACUUGCUUUGGAUUAUACUUGAAAAUCGCCCAAGUGGCACCUGCAUGAAUCAGAUGUCAGUAGUUCUCCUGUAGAACGCUCCACAGCUGCUUCCCCAAAAUCGUAUGGAUGAUUUUAAACGAGUCAUGGAUUAUUUCUCUACUGCUUGUUGGAUUAUGAAGAUUAAAGAUUGGAUGCAGAGUGGGUACAGUUUGGACUUGGCCCUGGAUGGUUCGUCUCCCUCUUCGGCUCUAAAGACUUAAACUCCAAGUCAUUGCUGUGCAUGUUUUUAGUUCCAUUACAGUCCCAUGUACAGUAGAAAAAUCCAGCCUCUCAAUGGCUAUGCAUGUUUAAUGACAUUCUGAACUAAUAAAAGAAGUCAAUCUGUUUUGUAAAUCCCACUUGUGCAAUUUCAGAAUUAAAGGAGAAUUAGAGUGGAAAAAAUAAGAAGGGGAAAGAAAAAAAAAUGAGAUUGCCUCCCAUUGCCGGAAGCUUUCCAAAAAUCCUUUCUUUACCUCCUUUCUCUCACUCUCCCUGAGCUUAUUGGUAUCUUAUUAGAUAUGUCUCUGCCAUACAAAGUUAUUGUGCUGGGAGUCUUUCCUAGGCUCAAAUCUCAGCAAACCCUGUAAUAAUCUGUCAGUUGAGAGAGAUGUACUGCAAAGACAAGGGCCCUCUAAUCCACACGGAUCAAUAGCAGC